rnacentral:rRNA from 1 species
CGACUACGUCGAAUAAAGUUCUAGAUAGAACAAUGAUAAUGACAAUUUUCUAUCUAUAUGUCUUGACUAAAUCACGUGCCAGCAGUCGCGGUAAUACGUGGAAGACUAGUGUUAUUCAUCUUUAUUAGGUUUAAAGGGUACCUAGACGGAGUACUUAGCCCAAUAUUAGAGGUACAAGUAAUCUAGAGUUUUAUAUGAGGAGGGGAGAACUUUUGGAGUAGAGAUAAAAUUCCGUGAUAACAAAAGGACUGGCAAAGGCGAAAGCGACCUUUUAUGUAAAAACUGACGUUGAGGGACGAAGGCUUGGGGAGCGAUAAGGAUUAGAUACCCUAGUAGUCCAAGCAGAAAAUUAUGAAUGUCAUAGACUUGGUUAAAACUAUUUCUAUAAAUGAAAGUGUAAACAUUCCACCUCAAGAGUAAUGUGGCAACGCAGGAACUGAAAUCAUUAGACCGUUUCUGAAACCAGUAGUGAAGUAUGUUAUUUAAUUCGAUGAUCCGCGAAAAACCUUACCACAAUUUGAAUAUUUUACAAGCGUUGCACGGCUGUCUUCAGUUAAUGUCGUGAGAUUAUGGUUAGUUCCAUUAAUUAACGUAAACCCUUGC